CAGUAGCCGCGGGAACACGAAGGGGGCUAGCGUUACUUGGAAUUACUGGGCGUAAAGGGCGCGUAGGCGGCACGAUUAGUCAGGCGUGAAAUUCCUGGGCUCAACCUGGGGACUGCGCUUGAUACGGUCGAGCUAGAGGAUGGAAGAGGGUCGUGGAAUUCCCAGUGUAGAGGUGAAAUUCGUAGAUAUUGGGAAGAACACCGGUGGCGAAGGCGGCGACCUGGUCCAUUACUGACGCUGAGGCGCGACAGCGUGGGGAGCAAACAGGAUUAGAUACCCCGGUAGUCCCUGUCUCUUAUAC
rnacentral:rRNA from 1 species